CUGGAGCAUGAGCCAAAGAUGAAGAGGUGGGGCCCAAAGACAGAAGUGUGGAUUCAAGUCCAGGGGAAGGAGAGAGAGCAGGAGCAAAAGCAAGGAUCAAAAGCAGAGGUCUGGGAGUUACAGCAUGGAGGAGCCAAGGCUACAGAACUUUGUACUGGGAAGGGGAGCUGGAGAGAUGUACAACUUCUGGAAACUUAGAUGGACCACCUAAGCAGCUGUGAGUUAUCGACCCUGUUUGUGGUCACAGGUUUGAAAUAUGCUGCCGAAGGAAUUUGGCCCAUGGUCCAAGCUUCCACCCUUCGUGUUGCUGCUGCUGCUGAAAAACAGAAAUGGAGGACUCCCAUGCUCAAGAUACUGCAGGACCUGCCGAGUUUCUCCAACCAAGAUUUUAUAUUUUCAGAGAAUCUUUAACAACAUUCAGGAGAAACAGGAAUGCAUCAAACCUACUCAAGCCAAAAAGUAAGACCGAGUAAUAUUACAGGAUGUGAGAACAUCAUGUCUACACUUCAGACACUUUACAAAGUGGUACAAUUGUUCCAAACAUAAUCACCCUAAUGUUGAACUCAAGUGAACCAGAUUGAGAUGUCUGGUCAAGAGCUCUAAAUUGUCCUGAUGAUUGGAGAUUCAA